rnacentral:rRNA from 1 species
UACGUAGGGUGCAAGCGUUGUCCGGAAUUAUUGGGCGUAAAGAGCUCGUAGGCGGUCUGUCGCGUCUGCUGUGAAAAUCCAGGGCUCAACCCUGGACCUGCAGUGGGUACGGGCAGACUAGAGUGCGGUAGGGGAGAUCGGAAUUCCUGGUGUAGCGGUGAAAUGCGCAGAUAUUGGGAGGAACACCAGUGGCGAAGGCGGCUACCUGGACCGGUUCUGACGCUGAGGCGCGAAAGCGUGGGUAGCAAACAGG